rnacentral:rRNA from 1 species
AAAUACCAUUAAUUUUCAUGAACCCCUAAUCUAUAAUGAAUGACUCCAUAUUUAUAUGGAAGACACCAUGCUAGGAUUAGUAACAAGAAUUUAUAAUUCUCCAAAAUGCAAAUAUAAACCAACAUGGAUGGACCAUUGGUAGUUACCGAACCUAAAUUCAAUGCAACAACACCUACAAGAAAACUCUGCAGUACUUACUCGUUAACCUAACACCAGCGCAUUACAGGAAAGAUUUAAAAAAAGAGAAGGAAUUCGGCAAAUGACGGCCCCGCCUGUUUACCAAAAACAUCGCCUCUUGACUUAUAAUAAGAGGUCCAGCCUGCCCAGUGAAUUUUAAACGGCCGCGGUAUCCUAACCGCGCGAAGGUAGCAUAAUCACUUGUUCUUUAAAUGGGGACUCGUAUCAACGGCAUCACGAGGGUUUUACUGUCUCCUCUUUUUGAUCAGUGAAAUUGAUCUUCCCGUGAAGAAGCGGGAAUAAAUUUAUAAGACGAGAAGACCCCAUGGAGCUUUAAACCAAAUAACAACUUAACCACUUAUCCCAUAAUAAAUUUAAGCCCUGUUAUAAGGUUUUUGGUUGGGGUGACCGCGGAGUAAAACACAUCCUCCACGACGAAAAAAACAGAAUCUUUAUUUAAGAACCACACUUCUAGAAAUUAGUAUACUAACGUUUACUGACCCGACAAUCGAUCAACGGACCAAGUUACCCUGGGGAUAACAGCGCAAUCUACUUCAAGAGCUCAUAUCGACAAGUAGGCUUACGACCUCGAUGUUGGAUCAGGGUAUCCCGGUGGUGCAGCCGCUACCGAAGGUUCGUUUGUUCAACGAUUAAAACCCUACGUGAUCU